rnacentral:rRNA from 1 species
GACGAACGCUGGCGGCGUGCUUAACACAUGCAAGUCGAACGGAAAGGCCCUGCUUUUGUGGGGUGCUCGAGUGGCGAACGGGUGAGUAACACGUGAGUAACCUGCCCCUGACUUUGGGAUAACUUCAGGGAACUGGGGCUAAUACCGGAUAGGAGCUCCUGAUGCAUGGUGGGGGUUGGAAAGUUUCGGCGGUUGGGGAUGGACUCGCGGCUUAUCAGCUUGUUGGUGGGGUAGUGGCUUACCAAGGCUUUGACGGGUAGCCGGCAUGAGAGGGUGACCGGCCACAAUGGUACUGAGAUACGGCGCAGACUCCUACGUGAGGCAGCAGUGGGGAAUAUUACGCAAUGGGCGGAAGCCUGAUGCAGCAACGCCGCGUGCGGGAUGACGGCCUUCGGGUUGUAAACCGCUUUCGCCUGUGACGAAGCGUGAGUGACGGUAAUUGGUAAAGAAGCACCGGCUAACUACGUG